GGGGGCAUAGCUCAGUUGGGAGAGCAGCAGACUGAAGCCUCAUCUUCAAGGAAAAUCAUCUUUCUGAAGGUCCCGCGUUCAAUCCGCGGUGCCCCCA